GACGAACGCUGGCGGCGUGCUUAACACAUGCAAGUCGAACGAUGAAGAAGAGAAACGCGAACUUCGGUUCAAAUUUCACUCCGGAUUAGUGGCAGACGGGUGAGUAACGCGUGAGCAACCUACCUCUUACAAAGGGAUAGCCUCGGGAAACCGUGAUUAAUACCAUAUGACACAUUCAUAAGGCAUCUUAAGAAUGUUAAAGCUACGGCGGUAAGAGAUGGGCUCGCGUCCCAUUAGCUAGUUGGUGAGGUAACGGCCCACCAAGGCGACGAUGGGUAACCGGCCUGAGAGGGUGAACGGUCACAUUGGAACUGAGACACGGUCCAAACUCCUACGGGAGGCAGCAGUGGGGAAUAUUGCACAAUGGAGGGAACUCUGAUGCAGCGACGCCGCGUGAGCGAUGAAGGAAUUCGUUUCGUAAAGCUCUGUUCUAUGGGAAGAAAAGGACUGUACCAUAGGAGAAAGCCCCGGCUAAAUACGUG
rnacentral:rRNA from 1 species